GAUGAACGCUGGCGGCGUGCCUAAUACAUGCAAGUCGAGCGAACAGACGAGGAGCUUGCUCCUCUGACGUUAGCGGCGGACGGGUGAGUAACACGUGGAUAACCUACCUAUAAGACUGGGAUAACUUCGGGAAACCGGAGCUAAUACCGGAUACUAUAUUGAUCCGCAUGGUUCAAUAGUGUAAGACGGUUUUGCUGUCACUUAUAGAUGGAUCCGCGCCGCAUUAGCUAGUUGGUAAGGUAACGGCUUACCAAGGCAACGAUGCGUAGCCGACCUGAGAGGGUGAUCGGCCACACUGGAACUGAGACACGGUCCAGACUCCUACGGGAGGCAGCAGUAGGGAAUCUUCCGCAAUGGGCGAAAGCCUGACGGAGCAACGCCGCGUGAGUGAUGAAGGUCUUCGGAUCGUAAAACUCUGUUAUUAGGGAAGAACAAAUGUGUAAGUAACUAUGCACGUCUUGACGGUACCUAAUCAGAAAGCCACGGCUAACUACGUG
rnacentral:rRNA from 1 species